rnacentral:rRNA from 1 species
ACCGCAGUGGUGACNGUUAGGUUAAAGGGGGGAUCGAAAGACCUCUCGCCUGAAGAGGAGCCCGCGUCCGAUUAGCUGGUUGGUGAGGUAAUGGCUCACCAAGGCAUCGAUCGGUAGCCGGCCUGAGAGGGCGGUCGGCCACACUGGCACUGAGACACGGGCCAGACUCCUACGGGAGGCAGCAGUGGGGAAUUUUGGGCAAUGGGCGCAAGCCUGACCCAGCAACGCCGCGUGAAGGAUGAAAUCCCUCUGGGAUGUAAACUUCGAAAGUCGGGAAAGAAAUCGCCAUGGAUAACACCCGUGGUGGAUGACGGUACCCGACGUAAGCCCCGGCUAACUACGUG